rnacentral:rRNA from 1 species
AGUGAACGCUGGCGGUAGGCCUAACACAUGCAAGUCGAACGGCAGCACAGUAAGAGCUUGCCCUUACGGGUGGCGAGUGGCGGACGGGUGAGGAAUACAUCGGAAUCUACUUUUUCGUGGGGGAUAACGUAGGGAAACUUACGCUAAUACCGCAUACGACCUACGGGUGAAAGCAGGGGAUCUUCGGACCUUGCGCGAUUGAAUGAGCCGAUGUCGGAUUAGCUAGUUGGCGGGGUAAAGGCCCACCAAGGCGACGAUCCGUAGCUGGUCUGAGAGGAUGAUCAGCCACACUGGAACUGAGACACGGUCCAGACUCCUACGGGAGGCAGCAGUGGGGAAUAUUGGGCAAUGGGCGCAAGCCUGAUCCAGCCACACCGCGUGAGUGAAGAAGGCCUUCGGGUUGUAAAGCCCUUUUGUUGGGAAAGAAAAGCAGCAGGUUAAUACCCCGCUGUUCUGACGGUACCCAAAGAAUAAGCACCGGCUAACUUCGUG